GAAUCAGGUAACAACUGAAGGUCAGUGCUGACUCAGAUUGAACGCUGGCGGGAUGCUUUUACACGUACCUGCAGAAUCAGACGGCAGCCUGGACUUCGGUCUGGUGGCAGUGGCGAACGGGUGAGUAGAAGUAGUAUCCGGAACGCGUGCCUAGUAGCGGGGAUAACUACGCGAAAGCGUAGCUAAUACCGCAUACGCCAUCGGGGAAAGCGGGGGGACCUUCGGGCCUCGCACUAUUAAACGGCCGAUAUCGGAUUAGCUGGAUUGGUGGGAAUGGCGCGGCGCCGCAGGCGACGAUCCGUAGCUGGUUCAGGAGGACGACCAGCCACACUGGGAUGAGACGCACGGCCCAGACUCCUACGGGAGAGGCGCCAGUAAAUUUUGGACAAUGGGGGAAACCUGAUCCAGCCAUCCCGCGUGCGCGAUGAAGGCCUUCGGGUUGUAAAGCACUUUUGGCGGGAAAAAAACGGCACCGGAUAAUACCGUGCAGCUGACCCGACGCACCUGCAGAAUAAGCACCGGCUAACUACGUGCCGCAGCAGCCGCGGUAAUACGUAGGGUGCAAGCGUUAAUCAGACCACUGGGCGUAAAGCGUGCCAGGCGGUUCGGAAGAAAGAUGUGAAAUCCCAGAGCUUAACUUUGGAACUGCAUUUUUAACUACCGAGCUAGAGUGUGUCAGAGGGAGGUGGAAUUCGCGUGUAGCAGUGAAAUGCGUAGAUAUGCGGAGGAACACCGAUAGCGAAAAGAGCAGCCUCCUGGGAUAACGCGGCGCUCAUGCACGAAAAAGCGUGGGGAGCAAACAGGAUUAGAUACCCUGGUAGUCCACGCCCUAAACGAUAUCAACUAGCUGUUGGGGCCUUCGGGCCUUGGUAGCGCAGCUAACGCGUGAGUUGACCGCCUGGGGAGUACGGUCGCAAGAUUAAAACUCAAAGGAAUUGACGGGGACCGCACAAGCGGUGGAUGAUGUGGAUUAAUUCGAUGCAACGCGAAAAACUCUUACCUACCGCCCGACAUGUCUGGAAUCCCGAAAGAGAUUUGGGAGUGCUCGCAAGAGAACCGGAAGUUUCUGGGUGCUGCAUGGCUGUCGUCAGCUCGUGUCGUGGGAUGUUGGGUUAAGUCCCGCAACAGGCUAACCGCCAUGAUAGUUGCUACGAAGGGCACUCUAAUGAGACUGCCGGUGACAAACCGGAGGAAGGUGGGGAUGACGUCAAGUCCUCAUGGCCCUUAUGGGUAGGGCUUCACACGUCAUACAAUGGUCGGGACAGAGGUCGCCAAUACGCGAGAGACCAAUCCCAGAAACCCGAUCGUAGUCGGAUCGCAGUCUGCAACUCGACUGCGUGAAGUCAAGAAUCGCUAGUAAUCGCGGAUCGGCAUGUCGCGGUGAAUACGUUCCCGGGUCUUGUACCUGCCGCCCGUCACACCGUAGGAGUGGGUUUUACCAGAAGUAGUUAGCCUAACCAUGCGCGGGAGGGCGAUUACCACGGUAAGGAUUCAUGACUGGGGUGAAGUCGUAACAAGGUA
rnacentral:rRNA from 1 species